AGAGGUAAGUCGUAACAUGGUAAGCAUACCGGAAGGUGUGCUUGGAACAAAGCAUAGUUUACUCACAAAACCCCUUGCUUACACCAAGAAAUCACCCGUGAAACCCGGGUUGCUUUGAGC
rnacentral:tRNA from 1 species